GUUCAUGACUUUGGGAAAGUUGAUAUUUGCCCAUCCCUCUUAUAUCUGAAUGAUCAUUUACCUUUGAUGUCUAACAGGUGGGCGGUACCGACAGGUCUCAGUACCUGCGUAGUGUGGAGGCAUAUGACCCAACCACGAACAGCUGGCAUACUGUGGCCCCCAUGUCCACAAUACGAAGCUACUUUGGCAUCGCAGUAGUGGAUGACCAGCUGUUCGUGUUGGGUGGGUAUGAUGGGCUUGGAGUCAAUAAGAAGGUGGAGUGUUACGAUGCGGAGACAGGGAGCUGGUAUCAUGCACAGGACAUGAUCGCAGCCAACGACACCUUCAGCUGCUGCGUAGUGCCUGCGCUCCCCCGCAUCGUACAGUACGCUUCACCGCGUUAGUCUCCGAUGGCCACCCAGGAGAGAAACCCAUCUGCCUCCAACAGCCUGCCCAGGUUCCCUGUCCUCCUCUUCCUCUGCCUUGUGGGUGGCAACUUUCCAGAGGAUGGAGCUUCUCCCAGCGGCUGCGUGUUGAUGUCACCUCGCACGUCAGCAGAACAGACAUGCAGGAACAUGGCCCAGCACGUCCUUCCAGCCCACCGAGAUCAUGAUCCUGGACAAGGGAGCAGUGUGUACAGCUCCUUAUUACUUAGUACUAUUACAUUAAAACAAAUACAUUAAAGUAUACAUUUAAAUGAUCUGAAUAUUUCUUUAACUCAAAUCUAAAAGGUUAAAUCUGAACACCAUGAACAUUAAUUCACAACAUAUGCUGUAUGAAUAUAACUCAGUGCCCCACUACAUUAGCCAAGUAGAUUUAAGCAUAAAUAACUGUUCGCUGGGCUUGCAAACUUUCAGCCAUGUCCCAUCUUUUCUCUCACCAAUGCAGUACCAUAAAUAUAUACAUGUGUCAGCACUUUGUGUUAACAUAAUAAAGUGGCAUGUAAAAACACUUUCUAAUCUUACCAUUCCAUCAACGUCCUCUUGUAGUGCCAAGGUGCAGCGAUCAUACCGUGUGAGGACCUUGUUGCUGACGUGCACGAUGUUCACCAGGAUUCCUGGUUUUGUCUAAAACUUGUGAAAGCUAUAAACAAAAAUAUCAAAUAAGUAGAAACCAACACAGUGUUUUUU